GAUGAACGCUGGCGGCGUGCCUAAUACAUGCAAGUCGAGCGAACGGACGAGAAGCUUGCUUCUCUGAUGUUAGCGGCGGACGGGUGAGUAACACGUGGAUAACCUACCUAUAAGACUGGGAUAACUUCGGGAAACCGGAGCUAAUACCGGAUGAUAUUUUGAACCGCAUGGUUCAAAAGUAAAAGACGGUCUUGCUGUCACUUAUAGAUGGAUCCGCGCUGCAUUAGCUAGUUGGUAAGGUAACGGCUUACCAAGGCAACGAUGCAUAGCCGACCUGAGAGGGUGAUCGGCCACACUGGAACUGAGACACGGUCCAGACUCCUACGGGAGGCAGCAGUAGGGAAUCUUCCGCAAUGGGCGAAAGCCUGACGGAGCAACGCCGCGUGAGUGAUGAAGGUCUUCGGAUCGUAAAACUCUGUUAUUAGGGAAGAAUAUAUGUGUAAGUAACUGUGCACAUCUUGACGGUACCUAAUCAGAAAGCCACGGCUAACUACGUGCCAGCAGCCGCGGUAAUACGUAGGUGGCAAGCGUUAUCCGGAAUUAUUUGGGCGUAAGCGCGCGUAGGCGGUUUUUUAAGUCUGAUGUGAAAGCCCACGGCUCAUCCGUGGAGGGUCAUUGGAAACUGGAAAACUUGAGUGCAGAAGAGGAAAGUGGAAUUCCAUGUGUAGCGGUGAAAUGCGCAGAGAUAUGGAGGAACACCAGUGGCGAAGGCGACUUUCUGGUCUGUAACUGACGCUGAUGUGCGAAAGCGUGGGGAUCAAACAGGAUUAGAUACCCUGGUAGUCCACGCCGUAAACGAUGAGUGCUAAGUGUUAGGGGGUUUCCGCCCCUUAGUGCUGCAGCUAACGCAUUAAGCACUCCGCCUGGGGAGUACGACCGCAAGGUUGAAACUCAAAGGAAUUGACGGGGACCCGCACAAGCGGUGGAGCAUGUGGUUUAAUUCGAAGCAACGCGAAGAACCUUACCAAAUCUUGACAUCCUUUGACAACUCUAGAGAUAGAGCCUUCCCCUUCGGGGGACAAAGUGACAGGUGGUGCAUGGUUGUCGUCAGCCCGUGUCGUGAGAUGUUGGGUUAAGUCCCGCAACGAGCGCAACCCUUAAGCUUAGUUGCCAUCAUUAAGUUGGGCACUCUAAGUUGACUGCCGGUGACAAACCGGAGGAAGGUGGGGAUGACGUCAAAUCAUCAUGCCCCUUAUGAUUUGGGCUACACACGUGCUACAAUGGACAAUACAAAGGGCAGCGAAACCGCGAGGUCAAGCAAAUCCCAUAAAGUUGUUCUCAGUUCGGAUUGUAGUCUGCAACUCGACUACAUGAAGCUGGAAUCGCUAGUAAUCGUAGAUCAGCAUGCUACGGUGAAUACGUUCCCGGGUCU
rnacentral:rRNA from 1 species